CUUAGUGGCGGACGGGUGAGUAACGCGUGGGUAACCUGCCUCACACUGGGGGAUAACAGUUAGAAAUAGCUGCUAAUACCGCAUAAGCGCACAGUUCCGCAUGGAACAGUGUGAAAAACUCCGGUGGUGUGAGAUGGACCCGCGUCUGAUUAGCCAGUUGGCGGGGUAACGGCCCACCAAAGCGACGAUCAGUAGCCGGCCUGAGAGGGUGAACGGCCACAUUGGGACUGAGACACGGCCCAAACUCCUACGGGAGGCAGCAUG
rnacentral:rRNA from 1 species